CAAACUCAAAGAGGCGCCUCAUACUCCGUUUCAUCCCCUCCCAAAAGUUUUAGAUUAGAUGCAGAGGAAAAACAGAUGAAAAGCACUUCCUAAGAUCAGGCCUUUCAAUUUCUGUAAGCUUAUCAGAGAAAUCAGUGUUCGCAACCAGAGAGAUGUCUGCUGCUGCUGAGAUGGAUUGCAAUUUCAGAAUACAAAAAAUACAUGCUGGGUUGAGAUUCAGAAUGUGACUGUAAAAGUGGAGCAGAGGACGUCGCUUAGGAUCCUGAGAUCUCGAACCCCUUUUACAUACAUGAAGUCAAGCAGCCUUCAUUUGCUGGGCAAACUCUUUUUUUAUGCUUUUUGCAUCUGAUUUUGAUUUUUUGUUUGAUAUAUUUAAAUGUUCAAAUUGAAGUAUAAUUAUCUAAGUUUAUAAAUUUAUGUUUCAAUUUAAAGUUGUAAAAGGGGACUCUAGAAUAAUGAAAUGAAUGUGCAUUUUUUCUCAUG